UACGUAGGGUGCAAGCGUUGUCCGGAAUUAUUGGGCGUAAAGAGCUCGUAGGCGGUCUGUCGCGUCGGCUGUGAAAACCUGGGGCUCAACUCCGGGCCUGCAGCCGAUACGGGCAGACUAGAAUUCGGUAGGGGAGACUGGAAUUCCUGGUGUAGCGGUGAAAUGCGCAGAUAUCAGGAGGAACACCGGUGGCGAAGGCGGGACUCUGGGCCGAUACUGACGCUGAGGAGCGAAAGCGUGGGGAGCAAACAGG
rnacentral:rRNA from 1 species